CCUACGGGAGGCAGCAGCAAGGAAUAUUGUGCAAUGGGCGAAAGCCUGACACAGCGACGCCGCGUGGGGGAUGAAUGCUUUCGGGUUGUAAACCCCUUUUCUCAGGGAAGAACAAUGACGGUACCUGAGGAAUAAGUCUCGGCUAACUACGUGCCAGCAGCCGCGGUAAUACGUAGGAGGCGAGCGUUAUCCGGAUUUACUGGGCGUAAAGCGGGCGUAGGCGGUCCUUCAAGUCGGAUGUAAAAUCUCCCGGCUCAACUGGGAGGGACCAUUCGAUACUGCUAGGCUAGAGUGCAGCAGAGGGAGGUAGAAUUCCCGGUGUAGUGGUGAAAUGCGUAGAUAUCGGGAGGAAUACCAGUGGCGAAGGCGGCCUCCAAGGCUGUAACUGACGCUGAGGCCCGAAAGCGUGGGUAGCGAACAGGAUUAGAUACCCCGGUAGUCC
rnacentral:rRNA from 1 species